GCGGACUUGGCCGAGUGGUCAGGCAGCGGUCUUCCAAGCCGCGGACGCCGGUUCGAUUCCGGCAGCCCGCUCCA
rnacentral:tRNA from 1 species